rnacentral:rRNA from 1 species
UGGGGAAUUUUGGACAAUGGGGGCAACCCUGAUCCAGCCAUGCCGCGUGCGGGAAGAAGGCCUUCGGGUUGUAAACCGCUUUUAUUCGGGAAGAAUGGCAGAUGGGUUAAUAGCCUGUCUGAUUGACGGUACCUUCAGAGGAAGCCACGGCUAACUCCGUGCCAGCAGCCGCGGUAAUACGUAGGGAGCGAGCGUUGUUCGGAAUUAUUGGGCGUAAAGAGCGCGUAGGCGGUUCGGUAAGUCUGAUGUGAAAUCCCAGAGCUUAACUCUGGAACUGCAUUGGAUACUGCCAAGCUUGAGUGUGGGAGAGGAGAGUGGAAUUCCCAGUGUAGAGGUGAAAUUCGUAGAUAUUGGGAGGAACACCCGUGGCGAAGGCGGCUCUCUGGACCACAACUGACGCUGAGGCGCGAAAGCUAGGGUAGCAAACGGGAUUAGAUACCCCGGUAGUCCUAGCCGUAAACGAUGGGCACUAGGUGUUGGAGGUAUCGACCCCUCCAGUGCCGCAGCUAACGCAUUAAGUGCCCCGCCUGGGGAGUACGGUCGCAAGACUA